ACAUCCAUAUAAAUCAUGUUUAUGCUCUUACAACAAUACACGAGCAAAAACGUGACCCAGUUAUAUAUGGACUAUUUUAUGUAGUUUCCAACUUUCUUCUUCCUUUUUCUUGGUGGAGAAGUUUCCAACUAUUGCUUUAAAAAAUAAGUUUCCAACUAUAUCACACUAGUUAUACUUUGGCCCAUGACUGCAUGGUCUAGCACCAAGAGGAUCCUUAUACUUAAUUUGAAAGCCUUUUUUUUAGAAAAAGGUAACCAUUCUAUGUAUAUAAAAUAAUCCAAAACUACAAACCAUGGACAUUAGUGGUGGAAAUGAAUUCUCCUCUCUCAUUAAACCAGCUAUUACAGUAGAUAAGAAUAGAAAUGGGUUCAACCGUAAUCUAAUUUAUUUUAGAAGCCUUGAUACACAUGAACUUCUAGAAUGUCAAUCGUCCUUGGAAACGACAACAUAACCUUGACAUACUCAACGACAUAACUCACGACACCACCCUACCAAAACAAUAAUUAAACUCUCGCUCAAAGAGGAAGGACGACUAUAUAUAUAUAGAGAGAAGUGGCGGUGACGAGUCUAACUGCUCCACAGGUUGUUUCGGCAUGCAUAUCAUGUUGUUGUGGAGAAGCGGUGAUGCGGAUCUUGAGGCGAAUUAGAGCAAUGUGACGCCGUGGUGGCGCAAUCCUGCCCGGAUUGACUCUCUCAAUCUGGGUCAGUUUCUCUGCUACUUCGAUUUGUCGCAUAUCUUAUUGAAAGUUGGCUUGCUCCUAUGUGGUGGAUGAUGUAAGCGACAAUGCUUCUCUGGUGACGGUCGAUUUUUCAGACAGAUCAGACAGCUUGUUUUGAGCCGGGCUUUUGGAUGGCUUGAAUUGUGAGGUCCAUUGGGUUGUGGGGGUUGAGCCUGUGCUAUUUGGCCCAGGUCUAGGUUUUUGUUUUUUAGUUUUGUUUGUUUUGGUGUGUUCAGGCCACCCUCUGUUAACACUUGAAACACUCGAACCACCACCUCCACUCGCAGAGCAGAACCAGACGAUGUCAGACGAAACGAAAGAACACAAAAGCUAACCCUAGAUAGAGAAAUCCUAUGUUUUUGCGGAGCGAAAAAGCUUCUCUACGCAGUACUACAAAAUUAAUUUGAAGCCCUUAAUCUGCUAAGUUAUUAUAAUUUUUAUAUGUUCUAAAUUAUUUUCUAAAACUUUAUUUAUCUUCAUCCCUAACGAAUAAUUUACCUAUAUAGUAAAUAUAAAUAUAGUAAAUUAGGUGUAGUUGGCGUUGUUCAUAAGCCCAUGUGGAAAUGACGAUUUUGUCCUCACUUACUUCAUAAUUACAGUCCUUCCAUCACCCUUUAAAUUACAGUUUUGCCCCCCGUUUUUCAUAAUUGACGAUUUUGCCCUCACUUAAUUACAUCAUAAUUACAGUCUUGUCAUCACCCUCUAAAUUACAGUUUUGCUCCUACUUUUUAGAAAUAAUGAUUCUGUCAUCACUUACGUCAUAAUUACAAUGCUGUCAUCACCAUUUAAAUUACAGUUUCACCCCCCGCUUUUCUGUUGAUUUACGCUACUACUAUCCGGUCCGGAUAACUUUGCAGUUACCAUUUUGUCCUCAGUUUUUUUUGUAAUUUACAAACUCUCUCUCUCUCUCUNNN
rnacentral:lncRNA from 1 species